AUUGAACGCUGGCGGCAGGCCUAACACAUGCAAGUCGAGCGGAUGAAGGGAGCUUGCUCCUGGAUUCAGCGGCGGACGGGUGAGUAAUGCCUAGGAAUCUGCCUGGUAGUGGGGUAUAACGUCCGGAAACGGGCGCUAAUACCGCAUACGUCCUGAUGGAGAAAGUGGGGGAUCUUCGGACCUCACGCUCUCAGAUGAGCCUAGGUCGGAUUAGCUAGUUGGUGGGGUAAAGGCCUACCAAGGCGACGAUCCGUAACUGGUCUGAGAGGAUGAUCAGUCACACUGGAACUGGGACACGGUCAAGAGUACUACGGGAGGCAGCAGUGGGGAAUAUUGGGCAAUGGGCGAAAGCAUGAUACAGCCAUGGCGCGUGUGUGAAGAAGGUCUUCGGAGUGUAAAGCACUUUAAGUUGGGAGGAAGGGCAGUAAGUUAAUACCUUGCUGUUUUGACGUUACCAACAGAAUAAGCACCGGCUAACUUCGUG
rnacentral:rRNA from 1 species